rnacentral:misc_RNA from 1 species
GCUGACACGCUGUCCUCUGGCGACCUGUCGCUGGAGAGGUUGGGCCUCUGGAUGCGAGCGGGACUCUGGCCUCCCGGUGACCCGGCUAGCCGGCCCUGCUCCCGCUUGAGCCGCCUGCUGGGGCCCGUGAGCCUGCGGCCCUCUCGUGCGUCCGAGCGUCCCGACUCCCCCCGGUGCCGGCCCGGGUCCGGGUCUCUGACCCACCUGGGGGCGGCGGGGAAGGCGGCGAGGGCUACCCUGCCCCCGUGCGCUCUCCGCUGCGGGCACCCGGGGCGGCCGUGACAACCCCCCCCCCACCCCGUUGGCUCCGUGCCGUUGCGUGUCAGGCGUUCUCGUCUCCGCGGGGUUGUCCGCCGCCCCUCCCCCCAGAGCGGGGAACGGCCGGGCUGGCCGGCUCGGCUCGCUGGCUGGCCGGCUGGCCGGCUCCCGCUCCUGGGGGCUCUUCGUGAUCGAUGUGGUGGCGUCAUGCUCUCCCGGGCAGGGUCCGAGCCGCGGCGACGGGCGAGGGGCGGACAUUCGUGGCGAAUGGGACCGUUCUUCUCGCUCCGCCCGCGGGGGCCCCUCGUCUCUCCUCCCCGCCUGCGGGUGGUGCGCUGGGGAAGGCGAGGGGCGCGGAACCCGGCCCGACCUCGCUGUCCCGUCCCUGCCUUCCGCCUCGCGGGGGCGGGUCGGCGGGGUCCUCUGACGCGGCGGGCACCCCUCGCUCUCGCCUCCUGUGGUUGUCGACUCGCGGGCGGCCCCCCUCCGCGGCGGUGGGGUGCUGUCCCGCCGGCCCGUCGUGCUGCCCUCUCGGGGUUCGCGCGAGCGUUGGCUCCGCCUGGGCCUUUGCGGUGCUCCUGGAGCGCUCCGGGUUGUCCCUCAGGUGCCCGAGGCCGAGCGGUGGUGUGUCUUUCCCGCCCCCGGCGCCCCCUCUUCCGGUCGCCGCCGCGGUGUCCGCGCGUGGCUCCUUGAGGGAGCUCGUUGGUGUCGGGGGGGUCGAGGCGGUGGAGUGAGACGCGCCCCUCCCACGCGGGGAAGGGCGCCGCGUGGUCCGGCGAGCGCACGUGUCCCGUGCUUCCCCCCCUGGCGGGUGCGCGCGGGGGCCGUGUGAGCGGUCGCGGUGGGCUCUCGGGCCGGUGACGCGUGCGCCGGCCGGCGGGCCGCCGAGGGGCUACCGUCCUGCCUCCGACCGGCCGUGUGUGGGUUGACUUCGGAGGUGCUUUGCCUCGGAAGGAAGGAGGCCGGUGGACGUGGGGGGGCCCCGGGGGGUCGCGCGCAUGCGCGCCGGCCGGGUCCCCCGCCCUGACCGCGAACGCUCGAGGUUGCCGCACGCGGGUGUGUUUCCUCUUACCGCGGGCCCCUCCCUCCCUCGCGUGGUCCCCGGGCGUCCCCGAGCGCCUCUGCGGACCCGACGAGGGGCGACUGGCGGGUGGGGAGAGUGACCCGCCCUCGGUGAGAAAGCCUUCUCUAGCGAUCCGAGAGGUUGUGCCUUGGGGUACCGGAUCCCCCGGCCCGCCGCCUCUCUCUGUGCGUUGAUGGUAGCGCUCGCCGUAGCGACCCGCUUGCGGCGGACCCUCCUCCGCUUCCCCCUCGACGGGGUGAGGGGGGGAGAGCGAGGGUUCCGCCGGCCCCCGACCGCGGUGGUGGGGGGCCGAGCGCGGCUCGUCGCCUACUGUGGCCCGCGCCUCCCCCUUCCGAGUCGGGGGAGGAUCCCGCCGGGCCGGGCCCGGCGUCCUUAGCGGUUCGGAGGCUGUGCCGCGAGCGGCGGGUGUGCGCGGCGUUCCGUCCGGCGCGUGUGACCCCUCUCCGCUGUCGAGCCGGCUGUCCGCCCGCUCCCGUGCCGAGUCGCGACCGGUGCCGGCGACCGCGUCUGCGUGGCAAGGGUUUGGGCCGCCUGGCCCCCGGAAAGCGUCCCACGGUGGGGGCGCGCCGGUCUCCCGGAGCGGGACCGGGUCGGAGGAUGGACGAGAAUCCCGGGCGACGCGGCCCUGGCGUCGGGUGUGUGGCUGUGGUCGCCUCGUGGGGUGGGGUUCCCGGUGGCCGGGGCCCCGGGUCUCGUGAGGAGGCGGGUCUCGGUGGGUGCCGAGGGCCGUCCGGCGUCCCAGGCGGUGCGCCGCGGGAACCGCCCUCGUGUCUGUGGCGGUGGGAUCCCGUGGCCGUGUUUUCCUGGUGGCCCGGCCGUGCCUGAGGUUUCUCCCCCGAGCCGCCCCUCCGCGGGCUCCCGGGGGCCCUCGCCCUCGCGGUCCCUGGCCCCCCUCGCCUCUCCGCGUUGGCGCGCCCCCUUCCCCGCCCGCCGCCUGCCGAGUCCCCUCUCCCCGAGCGGCUCACCGCCGGCUUUACCGUCGGUGGCGGCCCCGUCCGGGCCCGAACCCGGCACCGCCUCGUGGGGCGCCGCCGCCGGCCACCGGUUGGCCCGGUGUCCGCGUCCCCCGGCGCGUGCGCGCUUUCGGGGCCGGGUCGGUGGCGCGCCCCGGCUUGGGCCCGGUGGGCGCCCGGAGGGUUUUGGGGGUCGGCCCGCGGCGCGUGCGCGGGGAGGAGGGCGUUCCGGGGGGCUGGCCGCGACCGCGGCGGCGUUGGGGGGGGGCCCGCGGGGAUCCGCCGAGGGCCGGUCGUCCGCUCCGGGUGCCGCGCGCGGGGGGCCGCCUCCGUGCGUGUGCCCCCGGCCGCGGUCGGCUGCGCUCGACGGGUUCCCGCGGUGUCCCCCUCCCCCGCCGGCCGCCCUUCUCGCGCCUUCCCCGUCGCCUCGGCCUCGCCCCGGCGUUUCUCGUCUUCUCCCGUCCCGCUGUUCCGCCUCGGGUCGGUCGGCGCGGCCCCGGGUGCGCCUCGCUUCCCGGGCACGCCGCGGCCCUUCCCUGAGAGGCGUCUGUCCCGGGCGUCGGCGUCCGGGGAGAGCCCCUCCUCCUCCUCCCCCGCGUGGCGUUGCCCCGUUCGGCGCGCGCGUGCGCCCGAGCGCGGCCCGGUGGUCCCUCCCGGCCAGGCGUUCGUGCGAUGGGUGGCGCGAGGGUCGACCUCCGCCUCUGCCGGCCGCUCGCCCCCCUUUCCCCCGGGUCGGGGGGUGGGGCCCGGACCGGGGCCUCGGCCCCGGUCGCGGUCCCUCGUCCCGGGCGUUGGGGGGCGGGCGCGCCGCGGCCGGCUUCGGUCGGCCCUCCCUCCCUCGGCCGUCGCGUGGCGUGUGCCACCCCUGCCCCCGCGCCCGCCGGGGGGCGGGGCUCGGGGCCGGGCUUCGGCCGGGCCCCGGGCCUCGACCCGGACCGGUGCGCGGGUGCUGCGGCCGCACGGCGCGACUGUCCCCGGGCUGGGGCACCGCGGUCCGCCUCUCGCUCGCCGCCCGGACGUCGGGGCCGNNNNNNNNNNNNNNNNNNNNNNNNNNNNNNNNNNNNNNNNNNNNNNNNNNNNNNNNNNNNNNNGCGCGCGCGUCGGCCGCCGGUCCCUCGCGGCUGCCGGUCACACGGGCCGGGCGGUCCGCCUCCUCCUCGCACGCGGGCGCGUGAAGGGGGGUGGUGUGUGUGUCGGGUGGGUGUGUGCGGGUGGGGCGUCCGGUUCGCCGCGCCCCCACGCCCGCCCGCCCGGCCGCGCGCCGCCCUACCUCGCUCGCUCGCUCGCUCGCUCCCUCCCUCCCUCCCGGGCGCCGGGCCCGUCCUCGCGAGGCCCCCCGGCGUGGCGUCGUCGUCGGGGCCUCGCCGCGCUCCACC